rnacentral:rRNA from 1 species
GAGACUACACUAAACUCAUUCGCCAGAGUACUACAAGCGAAAGCUUAAAACUCAAAGGACUUGGCGGUGUUUCAGACCCACCUAGAGGAGCCUGUUCUAGAACCGAUAAUACUCGUUCAACCUCACCACUUCUGGUUUCCCCAGCCUAUAUACCGCCGUCGUCAGCUUACCCUGUAAAGGACAAAAAGUAAGCAAAAUGAGCAUAGCCCAAAACGUCAGGCCGAGGUGUAGCGCACGAAGUGGGAAGAAAUGGGCUACAUUUUCUAAUAAUAGAAUACUACGCACGACGCACUGAAAUGUGCAUCUUAAGGUGGAUUUAGUAGUAAAAAGCAAAUAGAG